rnacentral:rRNA from 1 species
CGGUAAUUCCAGCUCCAAUAGCGUAUAUUAAAAUUGUUGCGGUUAAAACGCUCGUAGUUGGAUAUUUGUCAAGGACUGCCGGUCUACCCUAGCGGUCAGCACUCGGUAUGUCCUCGGCAUUUUCCUGGAGACAGUGUUCGCUCUUAAUUGAGUGGCACAUGAACCAGAACUUCUACUUUGAGGAAAUGAGAGUGUUUCAAGCAGGCGUACGUCGUGAAUACGUUAGCAUGGAAUAAUAGCAUAGGACCCCGGUCUGAAGCUGUUGGUUUUUGGGCCGAGGUAAUGAAAAUAGGGAUAGUUGGGGGCAUUCGUAUUUAACUGUCAGAGGUGAAAUUCUUAGAUUUUUUAAAGACGGACUACUGCGAAAGCAUCUGCCCAGGAUGUUUUUAUUAAUCAAGAACGAAAGUUAGGGGAUCGAAGACGAUCAGAUACCGUCCUAGUCUUAACCUUAAACCAUGCCGACUAGAGAUUGGGGUCGUCAGCACUUUGACGCCUUCAGCAACUUGAGAGAAAUCAAAGUCUUUGGGUUCCGGGGGGAGUAUGGUCGCAAGGCUGAAACUUAAAGGAAUUGACGGAAGGGCACCACCAGGAGUGGAGCCUGCGGCUUAAUUUGACUCAACACGGGGAAACUUACCAGGUCCAGACAUAGAGAGGAUUGACAGACUGAUAGCUCUUUCUUGAUUCUAUGGGUGGUGGUGCGUGGCCGUUCUUAGUGGGUGGAGUGAUUUGUCUGGUUAAUUCCGUUAACGAACGAGACCUUAACAUGUUAAAUAGUUUCCAGAUCCGCUCGGUGUCAGGAUGACUUAUUAGAGGGACUUUAUGUCAUAACAUGAGGAAGUGCGAGGCAAUAUCAGGUCUGUGAUGCCCUUGGAUGUUCUGGGCCGCACGCGCGCUACAGUGAUGCGUCCAACGAGCUCCCAACCUAGUCCGGAAGGAACGGGUAACCUUGUGAAAGCGCAUCGUGAUGGGGAUAGAUUAUUGCAAUUUUUAAUCUGGAGCGAGGAAUUCAUAGUAAGCUCAUGUCAUCAGCUUGUGUUGAUUACGUCCCUGCCCUUUGUACACACCUCCCGUCGCUCGUACCGAUUGUGUGAUCCGGUGAAUUAUUUGGAGUGCAGUUUAAGUAGUUCUACUCAAAGUGCGGAAAAUAUCAUAAACCUUAUCGAUGAGAGGAAGGAGAAGUCGUAACAAGGUAUACCGUAAGGGU